CCUACGGGUGGCUGCAGUGGGGAAUAUUGCACAAUGGGCGCAAGCCUGAUGCAGCCAUGCCGCGUGUGUGAAGAAGGCCUUCGGGUUGUAAAGCACUUUCAGCGGGGAGGAAGGCGGUGAGGUUAAUAACCUCAUCGAUUGACGUUACCCGCAGAAGAAGCACCGGCUAACUCCGUGCCAGCAGCCGCGGCAAUACGGAGGGUGCAAGCGUUAAUCGGAAUUACUGGGCGUAAAGCGCACGCAGGCGGUCUGUCAAGUCGGAUGUGAAAUCCCCGGGCUCAACCUGGGAACUGCAUUCGAAAAUGGCAGGCUAGAGUCUUGGAGAGGGGGGUAGAAUUCCAGGUGGAGCGGUGAAAUGCGUAGAGAUCUGGAGGAAUACCGGUGGCGAAGGCGGCCCCCUGGACAAAGACUGACGCUCAGGUGCGAAAGCGUGGGGAGCAAACAGGAUUAGAUACCCUUGUAGUC
rnacentral:rRNA from 1 species